rnacentral:rRNA from 1 species
CCUACGGGAGGCAGCAGUGGGGAAUCUUGCGCAAUGGCCGAAAGGCUGACGCAGCGACGCCGCGUGCGGGAUGAAGCUUUUCGGAGUGUAAACCGCUGUCGUGCGACCGCCGGUACCACCAAAGGAAGCACCGGCUAACUUCGUGCCAGCAGCCGCGGUAAUACGAAGGGUGCAAGCGUUGUUCGGAAUUAUUGGGCGUAAAGCGCACGUAGGCGGCUUUGUAAGUCUCCUGUGAAAGUCCGGGGCUCAACCCCGGGAUGCCAGGGGAUACUGCGAGGCUUGAGACAAGUAGAGGUUGGUAGAAUUCCGGGUGUAGCGGUGGAAUGCGUAGAGAUCCGGAGGAAUACCAGAGGCGAAGGCGGCCAACUGGCUGUUCUGACGCUGAGGUGCGAAAGCGUGGGGAGCGAACAGGAUUAGAUACCCUAGUAGUC